CUUUAUGGUUACUAUCAUUAUUCAUAUUGCAGAAAAGGACAAUGGGAUCGAGCUUUUCCAACAUGCCAAGUAGGAUGGGGGUAAAAAGGCACCAUGGAGGAAGGAUUUCUGCACUGGAAGACUUCAAUAAGUUCAAGAGAUGAAGGAAAUGAGAAUAUAAAAAUCCCUGAAAUUAAGUUCUGUUUUGAGUCUUUCUAAUAUGGUAUGAAGUAUGCUUUACAAAAGUAAUAAAAAUUAUCUUUGCUACCA